rnacentral:lncRNA from 1 species
UUAUUUGAGGUAAUUUCCCCCUUGAAAACAAAUCUGUCUGCCCUGUUUCUUUCUCUUUUGUUGUUGCAUUUAAGGAUUGUAAAGAUCAGCAAAAGGAGAUGAACUACAAUAAAUAAAAAUGGUUAAUUUUCUAUGUGUGUGUAUAUAUGUAUGUAUAUGUCUUAGUGUGUGUGUAUAUGUGUGCAUGUGUGCCUCCCCCCCGCCCUGUGUGUGUGUGUGUGUGUGUGUGGCCUGCAGUUGAUGUGGAGUUUCUUUUUCAAUUACUUAACCUGGAGCUUUCUGUUUAGUUAGGUACCUGACUAGCCCCUUGCUUUGGGAUUCUGUUUCUUCAGUUCCUGAAUGCUGGGCUUUCAGAUGGUCUGGUAAAUCUAUUUGGCCCUAUACAGGUAUAGGAGAUCUGUUUGCAAGGCAAGCACCAUACCCACUGAGCUUUCUUCCCAGUCUUACAUAGCUCUUUUUUGUUUGUUUGUUUUUUAAAUACAGCAUAUUAUUAAGUAUCAUUAGGAAUUUAGACACUAAGACAUGGUUGCUUGAGUAACAUUGUAUAUAAAACAGAAUAAAAUAUAGGUUCUACAAAUGUUAUUUUGGUAAAAUACUAUAGAACUUCAAAAGGGAAUGUAAACGAGUUAGAACAAAGUAUAUGAAAUAUCUAUUUUCUCUCUCAGAAAGGAUUCCUAGAAGAGCUGUGUCUUCAUUUUAGGCUCUCAACCCAACGAGAAACUUGCUCAGACAAUGAAGUGGCUAGAUCAAGGCCUCAGAUAUGUUCUAUCUUUGCACUUUCUAUUGUUCCAGUUUGGAUUGAUUUUCUGUACACACACACACACACACACACACACACACACACACACACUUUUUUUCUUUUGGCUGUGUAUGUGAAUAUGUAUGCCUGCACAUUUGUUUUUCAAAUUAUUGCCCUAAAAAUAACAGUACAAAGGGGAACAUAACAAGAGCACAAACUCUUAUAUGGAUAAAGGGCUGAUGUGUCUAGUUAAAGACUUUUUAAUGCUGCUGUAUCUAAGUCCGCAGUGAUAGCUUUCUGCACUCUUGUCAUUCUUUGAAAUGUAGAGGUUUUCUCUGUUGCCAAAUUCACUGGGUAUGUUUGUGGUAGAAAGUGUAGAAGAUACGAUCUGCUUUUCUUCAAGAAUUAAAAGCAUAAAAACUUCACUCCCAAAUUAUGCUUAUUUUUGUAUUAUCCAUCCAGGAAAGAAAAACAGAUUGCUGUGAUUUUUCAACAGUGGACUGUAGUAGGGGAUAAACAUCCACCUGGAUGGCUUAGUCUAGUGAGUUUUAAAGUUUGGGUGGAAAUGAACAAUGCAAUGUUGAUGGUUAGGGUCUCUGACAUUGAUUUUUUUUUAAUUUUAAAUAUUAUGCAUUAACUUUUUGUAUAGUUUUAUAAAAUGAAGUAGAACUGUUGCAUAGAAGUAUCUUUCAGCCAUAUUUUAAAAUAAUGUAAGACUUAAUAGAUUUAUUUUCUUUAGAAUAAAAUUCAUAAUAACUUAUUUGUCAUCCUUUUAAGUAUAUUUGGUGAUCCAAUAAACAGAAUUGUUGUUAUAAUUUAGUGACAUUUUUAUAAAUAUAGUGAGAUGAAAGUUGACAUUCUGGUUCUGACAUAGAUUUUGUAAGAUUUGUUUGUGUAUUUGGUUGGUACUUUAAAAAAGUGCUGUCUAGGAAAUCAUAGUUUUUAUAAGAGAAUAUAGCCAUUAAUUUUUUUCUACAGAUUAGGCAACAGAAGAUUUGUGAAAACAAAAUAUAUUGAUCUCAUUUAUAUUCCCUUGAUGAAGGAACACAUGCUGGUCUCCGCGCUCGCUUUCUGUCCACUAAUAUGAAAUCCUUGUCCCUGCUUCCUUGCUGGUAGGUUUUUAGAAGUUCAGUGAGCAUUGCAAAUCGCCUGAAGGGUGGAAAAUUCCCUUGUCACACAGAUGCCCUUAUCAGCAGCAGCCAGAUGGAGCUCUGAGCAGGAACCUUAUUCAUGUUAAAGUGCAUCUUCCCCACCCCAAGAAGAAGAUGAAACCAUUCUGUUAGAAAUGGGUAGCAAAUGUACAGACUCAGGAAUAUUAAUAUUUUAAAGUUUGUAUGUUUUAUGUGAAACAUCAUCUUAAGAUAUAGCUGAAACCAGUUAAAUGUUUUGUUUUUAAAUAAAAUAGGAUGUAGUCUUUUCUUGAAUUGCAGCAGCGAAUAAGCUGGAAGUCUGACCUCUCUUUAAGGUGGGGGUGAAGGUGGGUGGGUGUUUCAUUAGCAUACUUUGAAUAUAAACUAGUUAACUCAGUUUUGUUUGUUGAAAAUAAAUAUUUAAGGUGAUGUGAUAUGGUUGAAGUACAGCACAGUCGAAAUAUAACUCAAAUAUUUUUUAUUUUAGUAAAAUUAUUCUGUUGUUACUCUAAGCAUUUCGGUUUUAUAUAGGUUUGCUUUUUGAAACAUCAGUUUACUCAUAGUUGCUAUUUGAUAAGCUAAUAAAUGCUGAAUGCCUUGUAAUUUCAGAUGUUUGUAAGCAAUACUGAUCUUUACCACUAUCAAUAAUUAUACAAUAGUUUUAAUAAAACUGAAAUUGUAGAAAUCU